AGAGUUUGAUUCUGGCUCAGGAUGAACGCUGGCGGCGUGCCUAACACAUUCAAGUCGAACGGAGAAGGGACUUCGGUCCCGGAUCAGUGGCGGACGGGUGAGUAACGCGUGAGCAACCUGCCUUUGCCCGGGGGAUAACAGCCGGAAACAGCUGCUAAUACCGCAUAACGUACGGACGCCGCAUGACGACCGUACCAAAGAUUUAUUGGGCAAAGAUGGGCUCGCGUCCGAUUAGAUAGUUGGUGAGGUAACGGCUCACCAAGUCGACGAUCGGUAGCCGGACUGAGAGGUUGAACGGCCACAUUGGAACUGAGAUACGGUCCAGACUCCUACGGGAGGCAGCAGUGGGGAAUAUUGGGCAAUGGGCGAAAGCCCUGACCCAGCGACGCCGCGUGAAGGAAGAAGGCCCUCGGGUUGUAAACUUCAGUCAACAGGGAAGAAGAAAGUGACGGUACCUGUGGAGGAAGCCACGGCUAACUACGUGCCAGCCGCCGC
rnacentral:rRNA from 1 species